GCCAUGUGGGUGAUGAUCGAGGGCCUCCCUGGGCGUGACAGUCACAUCUCCAAAGCCUUCUCCCUGCCACUUGCUUCUUGCCGGUAUUCCCCCAGCUUUCCUGGCGGCUCCUGACUAUGGUUCCGGUCUUCCAUCCAGGCCCUUCACCAGGCUGAAGCAGGCACAAUUGGGUUAUGUAAGUCAUGGCACCUAAACAAGGCCACCAUUAUAUUGCCUGGCCUCCCCUCGGGUUUUCUCUGCUUCCUGGCUGUUCACAUACUUGGCCGAUGUCUAGGCAAGCAAACUGAAGCCUGGAAAAGAUAAGUCGCCUCCCCAAAGUCGUGCAGAUUUUAUGUGAGAGAAUAAGGCUCAAGCUGGAGUCGCUCUUUCCACACAGAUCUGGGAUCCUGCAGUGCUUCCUGGAGAGGAAAAGCGAAACUUUCUUCAGGCGAAACAGAGGUCAGCAACAAGAGGAAAAUCACCGCAGAGCAAAGAGGCCCAGGCUGGAAAUAAACCCGACUGAGGAGUCAGCACUGGGACACCUCUCUAGUAAGUGACCUGCAGGAUGAACUGCUGGGCCAGAGAAGGCCUGUGAAGGGAGAGUCCAGAGGGAGGGAUGGACAAGACAAACCUGUGAGGUGGGGGAGAAGACAUAGGUUCCAGAAGAGGGGAAGGAAGAGUGGCUGCAGUGUGUGUGUGUGUGUGUGUGUGUGUGUGUGUGUGUGUGUGUGUGUGUGAACUGCUCACAGAAAGGGGGCCAACAGGAAGUGGUUCAGAUACUAGCAGCUCUGCCUUGGAUGAUGACUUGAUUUUUUUAAAAUGACUCUCUGUGUGUAUAUGCACACAAGUGCAGAUCCCUGAAGAGGCCAGAAGAAGGCGUCAGAGCCUCUGGAGCGAGAGUUGCAAACAAUAGUAAGCCACCUAAUGUGAGCAUGGGAGUCCCGACCCUCUGGAAGAACAGUGAGGGCUGUAAAGGGCUGAGUCAUCUCUCCAGCACCCACCCCACUGGUAAUUGUGUGUGAUCUUGAACCAAUUUUCUGGGUCUUAAUUUACACAUGUGUAUACUUAAUCUUGGAGGUGUGGUAGCCCAGGCCCAGUGUCCAAUGUCAGUAGUCACAGGCUACACAGGAAAACCCUGUCUCCAAAACCUCAAACCCUAGGCCAAAUCAAAACCAAACAAAAAUAACAAAACCCCUUGGCCUUGAGCGUUCUUGUGAGGAUUAAAGGGGUGUAAGAACUAACACAUCAUACUCUGGCUUUCUGAUUGGUGUCAGGUAACAGUCGGAAAACCAGACACUGUGGGAGAGGCUGGGGUGACAGGAUCCUCCAGAGCAGUGGUUCUCAACCUUGCUAAUGCUGUGACCUUUAACACAGUUCCUCAUGUUGUGGUGAUCCCCCACCUCCAGCCAUACAAAUGUUUUCAUCGCUACUUCAUAACUGUGAUUUUGCUGCUGUUAUGAAUUGUAAUGUAAAUAUCUGAUAUGCGACCCCUGUGAAAGGGCAGUUAAACCCCCCCAAGGGGUCAAGGCCCACAGGUAGAGUGUGGAGUCCUGAGCAGCCAGUCCUCCAGUGCUCUGUUCUCGCUUGCUCUCAAAUAUCCCCGCUCCCUCCCUCCCCUUCUCCCCCCCCACCCUUCUCUUUUCUUUUUCUGCCACAAUUUCUCACUUUCCCCCUUCCCAUUCUUUCAAGUUACAUCUUCUCAACUGCCCCAAAUCUGGAAGAUGUUUUAGAUACAGCAUCACUCAUGUUUAUUUUGUACUUUUUUUUAAAAAAAAAAAAUCAAGUGUUUCCAUGGUUUACACAUUUCUCUUAAUUAAAAGAGCAGUAUCUGUAUGGAAAGGUAAGGGAUUUUAUACAAAGGUAUGGCCCGGGAUGGUUAUCCUCUCCACUGAAGUCACAGUCCCUUAAUAGAAAAUGGCUCCCACCACUGGAUUAAAGGAUUAGGAAGAUUUUGUCUCCAGGCAUCUGGGGCCUGCUGUGUUGGAGACUUCUCUUGCUCAGCAGGCUGAGGAGGGGCACUCAGGAUGCUCUCCAAAGGCCAGUAGCUCCUGAGUCACCCCAGAGAUGCUCAGGAUACAGUCUGGAUGUCAUGUUCCGCUGCUGGCUACCUUUGGCUGGCUCGGUGGCAGCCGCUGCAGAAGUGACACAGGGUGGACAGGCGGGACGGUACAGCUGAGGUCACUGGUGGAAACGGAGGCCCUGAGUAAUUGGUAAAGCAGGCCCUGAGGCAAAGGGCGACAUUAGACACCUGUUCGCCCAUUGUUGUGGGGCCCAUGCUUGCCCAAGAAAGGACAGGGCUCCUCUGUGUGUACCAAUGUGUGCGGACGCCAGGGGAGGAGCUGUGGACCCAGCCUCCUCCAUCUCGCUUGGCUCUCAUUUAAAGGGGCUUCUGGCUGGGAAAGAGGGAUGCAGCAAGUGGAGAGGGGGGGCUUUCCCACUUUUAUUCUUCUUCCUUGAGAGUGGGCACCCAGCGAUGGUAGUGACUGGCUGUGGUGACCAGCCGACUUAACUCCCGUGAGGAGUGACUUGCUCUGGGUCACAGGGAGCACAGGGAGAAAAGGCAAAGUCAGGUUCCCUCUGCACCAAGCAGGGGACACAGUGGAACCUCAGCAGAUUGCGGGUCUCUCAGUCUCUGCUCAGCAGAGUGUGGGUCUCUCAGUCUCUGCUCAGCAGAGUGUGGGUCUCUCAGUCUCUGCUCAGCAGAGUAUGGGUCUCUCAGUCUCUGCUCUUUAGGGUCCCUGACCCAAGUGCUGCUCCUUCUCAAGGUCUGUUCUUCAGGGUGGCACGUGGGGUGAGCGAAGCCUGGACUGUGUGUGGAAGGCAGCCCAGGACUUAAGCAUUGGUGUAACUCAGCCACAUGUGGUGCACUGACAGUCAUGACAUGAGCAGGGUGGAGCUUACACCCCUAUGGAUACCGAGGUAAGGGUGUCCACAAAAACUAUUGCCGGUGUGAGGGUCUCAAUCGAACACCACCUCAGACUGUGAGGAUUAAGUGCUAAGAUAACAAGGAGGAGGUUUGGGGAGACAGGAUCACUAACUGCCGGGUCUGGACUCAUUAGGGUGGGCUAGCCUCCCCACCCGCAGCAUCACUAACUGCUGGGUCUGGACUCGUUAGGGUGGGCUAGCCCCCCAUCCCCAGCCUGGAUGCUCUGACUCUGAGGACAGUGAAGACCAAGUGAUGCGGGCAAGAGGGAUGGACAUUGGGUCCUUCAGCCCUGUGUCUCUAGAUGCUUCUCCUUCCUAGGCAGAACCUCAGUGCCCCACCAUGGAGUUUGGUUGCCAAGAAAUGGAGGGGAGGAUGGGGUGUGAGGACCAGGAGGAUGUCUUAUGGAGGGGAGGAUGGGGUGUGAGGACCAGGAGGAUGUCUUUGGUUAAGCCUAGGCUUUGUUUGUCUGGUCUCCUCAGGUUAUUAUUGGUCUGGGUGACAGCUGGGAAUGGCGAGAGCAUGCAGGAGGAGGGAGUGGAGUGGAUUUGGGGCCAUUCUAAGCUCCUAAGAUCUUCCAUGCCAUCUGGUGGGGGCCAAGGAGGCCAUCAUGCCAGGAAUAUCUGUCCACUCCCUCCCCACUCACGCCCUGAGCAAAACGGGGAGCAGCUCAAAAGAAAUAUGACAGCGGGUCUUUGGAUAGGGUUUCUCUCCUUCCGGUAUGUCUGGGAAAUAUGUGCUGCUCAAAUAGAUGAAUUAAGAGAAGUCUGUCUUCUGUCUGAGCCAGGCUCUGGCCUCGGGGGAGCAGGCUUUCCUCCCAGCCAGGAGCUGAAGGAGCAGGAAGAGUUGCUCUUAGUGGCAAACACACCCGGUAGAAGCGGGGCUCUCAGGAGCCUUCUGACCCCUUCCACACUUGACGAUGCCAUACAAACCUUUUAGAGACUGUGAUGUCUAAAACAUGCUGCCGCCGUUCCCAUUCCUCAUCUCUGAUGGCAGCUGGUGCAGCUCUUUCCCCAGAGUCCUUUCUGGGUCCCCAAACUCAAUGACAAGCCUUAGAGUCAAAGCACAUGCAUGCGGAGCCUUACAGUACAGGCAAAUGACUGGCGUCUGUAACCUCACGGAGGGGUUGGGUGGUCUAAGCAAAGGAGGAAGGAGGGAGGAAAGCAGAGAUGGUUCACUCAGUCAGGCCCUCGAGAGAUCCCUGGAAAACUAUGCACCCCUCUAGCUUAGGGGUGAGGACAGUGCACCAGAUGAGGAAGGUGGGCCCCUAGCUGGCUGCGGAACCCUGAGCAGUCUGGGUCCACUCCAGUAACUCUGGGAAACUACAGAUUUUCAGCAUCUGGCUCAAUUCUCCUGGGGACCCCUGGGAGGGAUAGAGGGAGGAGAGAGCUAGCCAGCACCCUCCCUGACUAUAGCUUCUUUAGGGCCACAGAGGCACUGAGUUCUGAGUUAAAUAAGAAUUCUGAUGAUAUCUCCUGUCAUUUUCAGGUCCCUCAGGACUGGAAAGGGAAGAUUGUCAAACGGAUAAAGAGCUCCAAGUCCUCAGCCUACUGGGGACACACGCAAGGUCCUGGAGCCACCAAAAAUGUUUAAUUAAAAACUGAAAUUAAAAUAAA